AACGAACGCUGGCGGCAGGCCUAACACAUGCAAGUCGAGCGCGCCCUUCGGGGUGAGCGGCGGACGGGUGAGUAACGCGUGGGAACGUGCCCUUUUCUACGGAAUAGCCUCGGGAAACUGAGAGUAAUACCGUAUACGCCCUUUGGGGGAAAGAUUUAUCGGAAAAGGAUCGGCCCGCGUUGGAUUAGGUAGUUGGUGGGGUAAUGGCCUACCAAGCCGACGAUCCAUAGCUGGUUUGAGAGGAUGAUCAGCCACACUGGGACUGAGACACGGCCCAGACUCCUACGGGAGGCAGCAGUGGGGAAUCUUAGAAAAUGGGGGCAACCCUGAUCUAGCCAUGCCGCGUGAGUGAUGAAGGCCUUAGGGUUGUAAAGCUCUUUCAGCUGGGAAGAUAAUGACGGUACCAGCAGAAGAAGCCCCGGCUAACUCCGUG
rnacentral:rRNA from 1 species